CCUCCCCUCCCCCAUUUUCAUUUUUACUCGUCAAAUGGGGAUACCCAGGCGUUAUAGUGUUAAUUAUUAACUAAAUAAGAAUAUGGAACGUCGACCAAAAAUAUAUAUUAGCAGAAAAUUAUAAUUAAAAGAGGGGUAUUUUCAGUAACUCUAAAAUCAGGUUUCCAUUUGGUCUGGGCGAUUGUAAUCAUGUUUAACGGCAGAGAAUUAAUAUUAGUGUUUGGAGCCAGGUGCCGUUUGUGGUCCAAGGCUGUAACUAGACUUGAUGGCACGAAGUAUUGCCAUAGCAGCUGCGCAGCAACGAGAGUAACAAUCAGUAAUAUUAGCAGCAAAAGGAGAUAGCUUGACAAUUCUGGACAUUCUGCCAAGACAUACCUCCGGCACAAGUCACACUGACAAGUCAGUGGAAAAGAAAAUACAGUCAAUGUAUAGUGGUCUAUAUAUACAUCCUAUUUUAUGUGAGAUUAAAAAUUAUAUAAAAUAAAAUGACAUACUACCAGAUAAAAUCCUCUAGAAUAAACAUGAGUGGGUGGGUAGAGAAAAGGUAUCUAAACGCUAAACUUGCUGCAGCUAGACAAAGCAUACAAUGGCAGAAUGAAUACCCAGACCGAAGCACUGAUCACAAGGCGUGAAACAACCCCCUUUGAUCGAUAUGACGUCACAGACUCCACUCAGCGGAUGUGGCCUGCAUAUACAUUCGCCGUUAACCUUGCUUAAAUGUAUUUAACCACAUCAAGAUAGCUGAUGUAAUAACACAUUGUCAAUUUAUCUCUGCAAUCAGUAAAGACUGAUUUGCAUACAGCACACAGAAGACAAGAUAAAUCCGGACUCCAGAAAUUUCACAUCAGUGACCAUGAUUUAG